ACAUGGCAGCGGCAGGGAGGCCGCUAGGGUGUGGCGGGGCGGGUCUACGGAGGCCUCUUUAGGCCACAGAGCCACGUUAGAGCCUAGGCCUGCAGUGACCGCUCUGUCCCAGUUGAAGGAGACCUACUGAGUCCUGAGGACAACCGACAAAGGCCUUAACGGCACAGAAGAUCCAGGAUUACUCUGGUGUCAUUUACUUCCUGCUUGAAGAAUUUCCUUUAACAUUUCUUACAGUGCAGGCAAGGGUUACUUUUUGAGCUGCUGGAGAAAAUCUCACCACGGGGAAGAAUGAUGUCCCACAAAAUUUAUGGCAUCAGCUGUACCAUCAACACUCCUGGCUGCUCCUCAAUUGUCUCCUCAGGGACUCUCCUAAAC